UACUGGGGGGGCAAGCGUUGUUCGGAAUUACUGGGCGUAAAGGGCUCGUAGGCGGCCAACUAAGUCAGACGUGAAAUCCCUCGGCUUAACCGGGGAACUGCGUCUGAUACUGGAUGGCUUGAGGUUGGGAGAGGGAUGCGGAAUUCCAGGUGUAGCGGUGAAAUGCGUAGAUAUCUGGAGGAACACCGGUGGCGAAGGCGACAUCCUGGACCGGUAUUGACGCUGAGGCGCGAAAGCCAGGGGAGCAAACGGG
rnacentral:rRNA from 1 species